UGGCGCGGAAGGAAGGAAGCCAAUCGCCUACGAAACAGAGACGAUGGGCAACCAGUCAGUCCAAUGGAAAGAGAAAGAGAGAAAAGUAGGUGGGGCCUUUUGCACCUCCUCUCUCCUACCGGCUCGGGCUGAGAGCAGAAGGAAAAGGGGGGCUUUGGCAGCAAGUUGGUACACUUAAGGGAACGGCUGAAGACUGCCCCAGUAUCUUCGGGGAAGAAUUCUGAGAAGGACAACAGAAUGCUAACAUGUGACAUUUGUAUGAAGCUACAUCACUAUGGCAAUGUGCAAAAAAUACCAGGGAAUCUCGACGGUGCCACUUGAAAAUACAAUCUCCAGAAUUCCCAUUUGUCUUCAGACUGCUCACAUCCAUGGCUUUCUGGGGUCAUUUGCUGUUUCGAUGUACUGAAAAUUAUCAUCUACCGGCCUGACUCCCAGGUGUUGAGAACCAAAAAGAACAUUAGAAGUAAGGAAAAUUUUCUUCACUUACAAGCAAAGAGACUGAUAAACAUGUCCAGCUCACUCACUGGACACAGCAAGAAGAAAGCCAUCUGCAAGCCAGGAAGAACACUUUCACUAGGAACCAUAUCAACAGCACCUUGAUUUCGGACCUUCCAGCCUUCAGAAUGAUGAGAAAUAAAUGUCUGCUGUUUAAACCAUCCAGUUCAUGGUACUAUGUUACAGCAACCUGAGCUAACAAAGACAGUGUUUUCCCUGAAUUCAUUCAGCAGAGAUGUCCUGAGCCUGCCCAGUACCUGGGCUGUGGAAUAAAGCAUGGAUAAAGCAGAUGAGGUCCCACCUUCAUGGUGGAACUUUGAUUCUAAUGGGAACGCUAGCCAAAGACAAUAGGCAAGUAAUCAAACGGGUGAAUUUAGACAUGAUAAGAGCUAUGAAGAAAACACAACAGGGAAUGCAACGUGGAGUGAUGGGAGGGGCUACUUUAGAUCUGGUAGUCCAGGAAGGCUUUCUGGGGAGGGAACAUUUGAGUUGAAUGAUCAAGAAGACCCAACUUAGAGAUAACCUGGUGGAGUAACAUUCCAGGCACAGGGGAUCACAGUGUUAGCUUGUGCCUACGUAAGACCUGACAAUUAGGGCAGGCAGGGAAUGAAUAGACCUUACAUAGAUUUGAGUAUUAGUAUCCAGAAGUGGAAGUGAGAGAUACAUAGCGAGAACAUUCAAAUAAGAACCUUCAGAUUUUGAAUACCAAUGAAAUAACGAUGGUCUCACAAUGGCCUUCUAUUCCAUGCAAGGCCGCCUCUGCAUUUUCCACAUCACCAUCAUCCAUAGAACAUGAAAUAUCUAUACGACAUCAUGAUGCUAAUCACAGCUUCCAAGUCGGUUUUAUUAGACAGCGGGGUACAUUUGCUACAAUUAACAGAUCAA